CAACUACUCCCUCUGUCCCAAAUUUCUUGUCUUAGAUUUAUCUAGAUAUGGAUGUAUCUAAUACUAAAAUGUGACUUGAUACAUCCGUAUCUAGAAAAAUCUAAGACAAGAAUUUUGGGACGGAGGAAGUACUUU
rnacentral:pre_miRNA from 1 species